rnacentral:rRNA from 2 species
UUUAACUGAAGAGUUUGAUCAUGGCUCAGAUUGAACGCUGGCGGCAGGCUUAACACAUGCAAGUCGAGCGGGGGAAGGUAGCUUGCUACUGGACCUAGCGGCGGACGGGUGAGUAAUGCUUAGGAAUCUGCCUAUUAGUGGGGGACAACAUCUCGAAAGGGAUGCUAAUACCGCAUACGUCCUACGGGAGAAAGCAGGGGAUC